CUUAGUUUAACAUAGGACCCUAUGGGAAAUGCAUACAAAUGACUUCUUUUAGAGAACCACUGAAUGGAAUAAAACCAAACAUAGCAUGAAUUAUCCUUAUGGGGUGCUGACCAAGUGUUGUUACUUUGUAGCCGAUCCAUCAUCCAAGAUGGCCGCCAGCGGGGGACUUAGUUUAACAUAGGACCCUAUGGGAAAUGCAUACAAAUGACUUCUUCUAGAGAACCACUAAAUGGAAUGAAACCAAACAUUGCAUUAAUGUUCCUUAUGGAGUGCUGACCAAUUGUUGUUACUUUGUAGCC
rnacentral:lncRNA from 1 species